rnacentral:piRNA from 1 species
UGGCACAACAUUAACUACUCUAGGGUAGCCA